rnacentral:tRNA from 1 species
GCGGAUGUAGCCCAACUGGAUAGAGCGUUUGGCUACGAACCAAAAGGCUCCAGGUUCGAGUCCUGGCACCCGCAGAA